rnacentral:pre_miRNA from 1 species
UUGCAGACUUGAAGACUUCAACUUGCAGACUUGAAGAAUUUGAAGACUUCAACUUGCAGACUUAAACUUGUAGACUUAAAGAUUUCAACU